AACCAUAGAAACCUGCGGAGUACCUGCGGAGGGAUCAUUAUAGAAUUGUUCGAAUUCCAUACGGGCAUUUUCUAAAAAAUCCGUAUCCACACCGGUAGGGCUUCUUUCUCUCUCUCUCUCUUCGGAGAAGAGGGGGGCUGGGCUCUUGCCGUAGGGUUCCAUUUUCCUCACUCCAAAAUUUUUAUUUUGGGUGUGGGGGGUUUGGUUCCUGUCUGACCCAUGCCUAUAAUUUUAUUUUGU
rnacentral:misc_RNA from 1 species